CAGUCUCUUUGAUGCAGCGUAAUUACAAGGACAGAGGUGAUUCCCUGUCCCCUGCCAUUUCAGCGAUGGGAUCUGAAGGGGAGUGGCAUCCCGCCAGUAUCCUCUCAUGAGGAAGAAUCAAUUUGCAAGGUAUUGAAUAAACCCUUGGGCUCUGCCUUGGAGAGGUGACCACCCAUGAAACCAACUGACAUGAAAGCACCGCAAGAUAAGCUGUCAUCUUAAUAAAUCUGAGAGGGUAUGAAAACACAGAGUGGCCGUGGAGGUGUUUCCAGUGUGGCUAUGGAGACACACAGCUCCCAUUCAUCAGGACUGUUUGCAUCUGUCUGGCCUGACCUGUUGGCAGAAUGCGGCUGUUGCAUUUCUUGUCCUGCGCUGUUAAACUCGGUGCUACGCCAUGUGAUCUUGCUGAUGUCUGACGGCACUCCUGGAUCAGCAGCUCUUGCUACAUUGUUCUGCAAGUACAAAACUUCAACUCAUGGGCAUUAGGAACUCAUGGACAGACUCCACCUCACGUGCUUUUGGCAGAGAACAUGCUUAAGAAUCAUGCUGACACUGUGGUGGGCCUUCAUAGAACUUCGAGGAGCUGGUGUGACUUGGAUGGCAGCUGUUCUGGUGCUGCUCUGCUGUAUGAGAAAUCCUGUCUUGUGAGAAGGAGAUGUCAGAGCUGCCCUUGGCACGAAGCUGCUGGGUGUCCAGAUUACCAUGGGGUUUAUCACCUGAGGACUGAAUUGAGCUGAGGAGCAGCAGCUGAGCCAUGCAACUAGUAAAG